GACGAACGCUGGCGGCGUGCUUAACACAUGCAAGUGGAGCGACGAACCGGGGCUUGCCCCGGGGCAGAGCCGCGAACGGGUGAGUAACACGUGGGUUACCUGCCCCGAUGACCGGGACAACCCGAGGAAACUCGGGCUAAUACCGGAUGUGGUCUUCGGACGAAAGGAAGCUUUUAUUAGCCUCCGCAUUGGGAUGGGCCCGCGGCGCAUUAGCUUGUUGGUUGGGUAACGGCCUACA
rnacentral:rRNA from 1 species